rnacentral:rRNA from 1 species
UACGGAGGGGACUAGCGUUGUUCGGAAUUACUGGGCGUAAAGCGCACGCAGGCGGAUUUGUAAGUUAGGGGUGAAAUCCCGGGGCUCAACCUCGGAACUGCCUUUGAUACUGCAAAUCUCGAGUCCGGAAGAGUGAGUGGAAUUCCUAGUGUAGAGGUGAAAUGCGUAGAGAUCGGAAGGAACACCAGUGGCGAAGGCGGCUACCUGGCCUAAUACUGACACUGAGGCACGAAAGCGUGGGGAGCAAACAGG